AUAUCAAUAAGCGGAGGAAAAGAAAAUAACAAUGAUUUCCCUAGUAACGGCGAGUGAAGAGGAAAGAGCUCAAAGUUGGAACCUGUUUGGCUUAGCUAAACCGGAUUGUAAACUGUAGAAGUGUUUUCCAGACACGCCUGGUAAAAAAGUCCUUUGGAACAGGGCAUCAUAGAGGGUGAGAAUCCCGUCAUUGGCCAGAGCUGUUGUCUUUUGUGAUACAUUUUCAAAGAGUCAGGUUGUUUGGGAAUGCAGCCUAAAUUGGGUGGUAAAUCUCACCUAAAGCUAAAUAUUUGCGAGAGACCGAUAGCGAACAAGUACCGUGAGGGAAAGAUGAAAAGAACUUUGAAAAGAGAGUUAAACAGUAUGUGAAAUUGUUAAAAGGGAACCGUUUGGAGCCAGACUGGCUUAACUGUAAUCAAUCUAGGCUUUGGCCUGGAUGCACUUGCGGUUUAUGCCGGCCAACGACAGUUUUGUUUGAGGGAAAAAAUUACAUUGAAUGUGGCCCUUCGGGGUGUUAUAGCUUUGUAAAAAAUACCUUGGACUGGACUGAGGAACGCAGUGAAUGCCUUUAGGCAAGAUUGCUGGGUGCUUUCGCUAAUAAAUGCUAGAAUUUCUGCUUCGGGUGGUGCUAGUGUUUAAAGGAGGAACUCGCUUAGUAUAUUUUUUAUUCGCUUAGGUUGUUGGCUUAAUGACUCUA
rnacentral:rRNA from 1 species